UGAUGGGAAUAGCAUAUGGUUAUCUUGUAUGUCCAAGUGCUCAAGUGGAAAAUAUUGCAUCUCCAGAAAGUGGUCAAAAAGAAGGAAUGAGACUAGUUAAACAAUAUUCAGAUCCUUGUAAAUCCCUUAUUUCCUUCUCAGUCUUCAUUAUCCUGUUUGCUUCUUUGCUUUUGAUAAUAGAACCUCCUCUCAACGCAAUAGCAGGAGCUGGAGACAAGUUCUAUAUAAGCUGAAACAGGGUGAUUAAAACUCUAAUACUUUAUGCAUAGGCGUG
rnacentral:misc_RNA from 1 species